rnacentral:lncRNA from 1 species
CUCAUCAGCCUCCAAAACACAUUCCACUGCAUAAGCUCUCUUGACUCUGCUUUACAGAUGAACAAAGGCCUGGCUAGACCUGCAAAUGGGGAGCUAAGAUUCCAGCUCUGCACCCGGAGCCUGAACUCCCACCCUCUGUGAUGAAUUCUUCUGCCCAUCUACUGAGCGUCUUUUCUUGGAAAACCCUGAGCGGGGCUUAAGAGCAGAAAAACAAACACCCGUGCAAAGCCCCGUGAAAUUCCCGAGGAAGGAAUUAUCUUUGCCUGAAAGCUCCCACUUGGAACUACGAGGCUGAGGCUCACCUGGCUUCCUGCUGCUUGGCACAGCCCCUGCCCUCCUCCCCACUUCUCCCCGGUACGUGGGGCCACCUUGGAUGUUUAAACAGGAGAAAGGUGCCUGAGAGGGUCAAGGUCAUUCUGGCUGGAGCGGAGACAGAGGAGAGAGUGAAACUGGAAAUGGAGAACUUAGCGGAAGCUCUCAUCAGACCACAGCUCGCGAGACAGGAAGGACUUUGCUGGAGAUGGCUGUGCCGUGGGAAUCGUCCCCACACCUGUUUCCGUAGACGAAUGUGACCUGUCUCGGCAGCGCCUCCCUUACUGCCCUAUUUAAUACUACGCCCUGCCUUGCCUGUCUCCCCCUUGCACCCAACAUUUCUGCACUAUAAAAACUACCACCCAGCAU